rnacentral:rRNA from 1 species
AAUGAACGUUGGCGGCGUGGAUUAGGCAUGCAAGUCGCGCGAUGAAGUUCCAGCUUGCUGGAAUGGAUUAGCGGCGCAAGGGAGAGUAACGCGUAGGUAUGUACCCCCAGGUCUGGGAUAGCGGCGGGAAACUGCCGGUAAUACCGGAUAACGUCCCUGGACCAAAGGUGUGAUUCCGCCUGGGGAGCGGCCUGCGUCCUAUUAGGUUGUUGGUGGGGUAAUGGCCUACCAAGCCAAAGAUGGGUACCGGGUGUGAGAGCAUGGCCCGGCUCACUGGGACUGAGACACUGCCCAGACACCUACGGGUGGCUGCAGUCGAGAAUCUUCCGCAAUGGGCGCAAGCCUGACGGAGCGACGCCGCGUGCGGGAUGAAGGCCUUCGGGUUGUAAACCGCUGUCAGAGAGGCGGAAAUGCAUGUGGGCUAUCCCAUGUGUUUGACCUAAUCUCAGAGGAAGCGCAGGCUAAGUUCG